AUUGCUGGCUGCUUCACUCCUGGAACCUUCACUAACCAGAUCCAGGCAGCCUUCCGGGAGCCAUGGCUUGUGGUUACUGACCCCAGGGCUGACCACCAGCCUCUCACGGAGGCAUCUUAUGUUAACCAACUUACCAUUGCUCUGUGUAACACAGAUUCUCCUCUGUGAUACGUGGACAUUGCCAUCCCAUGCAACAACAAGGGAGCUCACUCAGUGGGUUUGAUGUGGUGGAUGCUGGCUCGGGAAGUUCUGCGCAUGCGUGGCACCAUUUCCCGUGAACACCCGUGGGAGUUCAUGCCUGAUCUCUACUUCUACAGAGAUCCUGAAGAGAUUGCAAAAGAAGAGCAGGCUGCUGCUGA
rnacentral:lncRNA from 1 species